GGGCCCGCACAAGCAGUGGAGUAUGUGGUUUAAUUCGAAGCAACGCGAAGAACCUUACCAGGUCUUGACAUCGAGUGACCGCCCUAGAGAUAGGGCUUCCCUUCGGGGCACAAAGACAGGUGGUGCAUGGUUGUCGUCAGCUCGUGUCGUGAGAUGUUGGGUUAAGUCCCGCAACGAGCGCAACCCUUACCUUUAGUUGCUACGCAAGAGCACUCUAGAGGGACUGCCGUUGACAAAACGGAGGAAGGUGGGGAUGACGUCAAAUCAUCAUGCCCCUUAUGACCUGGGCCACACACGUACUACAAUGGCCGUUAACAGAGGGAAGCAAUACCGCGAGGUGGAGCAAACCCCUAAAAACGGUCUCAGUUCGGAUCGCAGGCUGCAACCCGCCUGCGUGAAGCCGGAAUUGCUAGUAAUCGCGGAUCAGCAUGCCG
rnacentral:rRNA from 1 species